rnacentral:rRNA from 1 species
CCCGAAAGAUCGAACGGGGAGAUUCAUCGUCAGCGGCGUCGGCUUCGCCGCGGCUCGCGAUGCCGCGUACCUCAGGGUACGGGGCACGCGGUCGCGUCGCGUUAUGUCCGGCGACGUGGGCGUGCACUUCUCCCCCGGUAGAACGUCGCGACCCGUUGGGCGUCGGCAUAAGGCCCGCACGGCACAGACUGUCCGGGGCGUUAACGCGCCCGGGGCAGACCGUCGCGGUUCGCCCGGCCGGCUGCCCGACGGUACACGCACGGUAUUUGGCCGCAUCGAACGUGCGCCCGGCCCGCCGCAAGCGCGGUCAGCGAUUCCCGGUGGUCGGACCUAGCGCCGUCCCCGGGCCUGGUCAGCUGUUAGCGGUCGGUGUCCUCGGGCUGGCCAAUCGAACUUACAUAGAAAUACCGGUCGGCGACGCUAUUGCUUUGGGUACUUUCA